GUGGACAAUCAUCUCAAAACUGUGGAAAAAAAAUGGGAAAUAAUAACCCAACUUAAAAAUAAAAGUGGUUUUGGUUAGGAUGAUUGUUUGAAAAUGAUUACGGAUUCGAAAGAUGUAUAUGAUGAAGAAGUAAAUGCACAUCCGAAUCAUGACAAGUAUCUCAACAAAAAACUUGAUAUGUAUGAAGCAAUGAUAAUUGUUGUUGAAAAAGACAUGGCAACCGGAAAUUAUGCCAAAUCAUAUGCUGAUAUCAACCUAGAAGAGAACAUUGAAGUGUAAUCUAUUUCAAUUGAAAAUGAAGGAGAAUAUGAAGAAACUUCAAAAGGUAAAGAGACAUCUUCCUCUAAUACCCAAAAGAGGCAACAUAAGAAGAGAUAUUGAACGUACGAAGAUGAUAGUGUUGAAAAGUUGUCUAAAAAGAUUGGAGAUGUAGCGUUUGUAAUUCAAAGCCUAAACAAAAAUCAACUUGAUGUUAAUGAGCUAUAUACAAAAGUGAUGAAAGUUGAAGGCUUUAAGAAGAUCGCUCUUGGUGAUGUUUUUAAUCACUUGGUUCAAAAUGAAAUGUUGGCAAAAGCAUUUAUGGUAAAAAAAUGCUAAUUUGAG